GGGGGGGGGCUGAAGCGGAAUCUCUGAACGGCCGUAGGAAAAUACGCCUGGAGGAAUAGGGGGGGUUAUGGGGAGGGUUACGACUGCGGUUGCGUUAAAGGAUGGCGCUUUGGAUUCGGUGCUCGUGAACGGAGCGCAGCGCACAGGAAGGCAAUGGGAGCAGCGGAGCAAAGGAAGGAGAACGCGUGGCGGAAAGCGAGAGGGAAAAGACGGACCGACGGUCCGUGGGCGGAGUGCUCGGCCACCCCUGGAGCGCUACGCAGAAUUUUCUGCCCUUUUUACGCCUCCGAGCGCUCGGGAGCCACUGCCUGGAGGACUGAGCACAAGAGAGAUUGGAGGGCUGGCUGCGCAGAGCGGCCGCUUCCGGAUUGCGCACGCAUGCGCGUUGGCGCCUGGAUGACCUUUAACCAUAGAGACGGGCGGCGCGGAGCGGAGACGGAACGUCCCCCGCUGCAGUUCCGCGCUUUGGCCACGUGGGGGCAGCAGAGACAGAAGGCGGUCGCAGUUCCGCGUGGGGCGCUCCGUUCGUUUUCCUUCGGAUUUCGGGUGAAGAACUCAAUGUUGGGGGGGGGAGAAAGGACAAAUUCUCCAAACCCAGGAAAGCUGUGUUAAUUGUUCACGAAUUUCUGUGUAAAAAAAGAAAAAAAGGAUGCGAUCCGAGCUUUGCUCCUGCGCCGCCAACCGCUGUCUGCUUAAGGACGCCGUGGAGCUCCGGAUGCUAAACUGUGCUUUGGGGAUGAAUUCGAGAUGUUCGGGGCUGUCCCCGUGAUGGACGGGCAGCGCCGUGCGGAAGGCUGUGGAGGUGGACACCGCCUGCGGUGGUCAGGCACUGCAAUGGGCUGCCCAGAGAGGUGGUGGAGUCGCCGAGCCUGGAGGUGUUCAAAGAGCGCUUGGAUGUUGUGUUGAGGGACAUGGUUUAGCGGGAACCAUUGGUGAUGGGCGAACGGUUGGAAUGGGUGAUCCUGUGGGUCUUUUCCAACCUGAGCGAUUCUAUGAUUUAACAGCCCCAUAUGGCCAGUGUGUAAAGCCAGUGGGGAAUGGAGGCUGAUGGUAGAUUACCGUGGCCUGAAUGAAGUCACACCUCCACCGAGUGCUGCUGUGCUGGACGUUAGAACUCCAGUAUGAACUGGAGUUGAAAGCAGCCAAGUGGUAUGCCACCACUGACAUUGCUUGGGUCUUUCCAGCCUCCGGGAAGGGCAGAUCUCUCUGUGGAAUGGUUUUUGUUUGGGGACUUGGGUCCACUUGGUGGGUGAUGCAGAAAGAUGGGGAUGUUCAAUGUGUACCACAAGGGAAUCUGAUGCUGGGGGAGUGCAGUCAGUAAUUCCACGUGUAUAUAUAUAUAUGUAUAUAGAUAUGUGUGUGUGUAAUGCAUGUUAAUUGCUGUUUGUUUGUAUAUAUGUAUAUAUUUAGCAUGAGUGAUGUGGAAUAAGGGGUGGAACGUCACGGCUUUAUGAUUUUUGUUUCCACGUCAUAACAUCAUGUAACGCACGGGGAGUUAAAGAGUUAAUGCCCCACUUCCAUGGACCGCCAGCUUUCCGGAUUCCAGGCUCUCAGAAGAGAACUGCAUGCCCCAGAGGACUUUGUGUUCAAAGGAGAAGAUCAGACCCACAAGUCAUGGGACUCACUCCCUCUGUUGCUGCCCUGCAGUGUGUGGUUGUGCUCCUCAGCCGUUUCACCUUCAGUUCAGAGUAAGGCCUUCAGUUUCUGACACUCUCUCUCUCAUUUUAUUUGAUUUAUUAGCCACAGUUCCAAUUAUACAUUGCAUUAUGUUGUGCUAUCUUGCAUUAGUAAAUUAACUUUCCUCCUCAGAUCGUUGCUGCUGUUCUGUUUUUUUAGGCCCAUUUCUCAUCUCCCUAUACUUUCCCUUUUCCCCUUUCCCAGGGCGUGGGUCCAUGGCUCCCCAUGCCCCAUUAGUCAUAGAACCGGGCCGAACCAGCCUGUAAAACAUUGACACUCCCCCCUCCCCUCCCCUUUUUAGGCUGGUGGGCCCAUAGGCCUGCUGUCCCCAUCAGAGACACAGAUAGAUCUGGAGAUAACCCCGUGACACCACAGGAGACCACAUGGGGAGACCGCGGCAGAAGUCCUCCUCCUGGCCAGCCCUGGUCUCAUCCCGCAGCUUCACUCUCUUCUCCUCCAGCACUGCAAUCUUCUCUUCCACCUUGGCUUCCUUUUUCUGCAGCUCCGUGGUCUCCAUGCAGGUGCCCACCAUGGCAGUCAGAAGCAGCUGGGAUGUCACAGAGGGCAGGGGCAUGCCAAGCAGCUGGGGGCACGGAGGGCGAUUUCGUACUCUUCAGUCUGCCUUCUCCGGAAAACUGACUCUCCAGAUGUCAUCCAACGCUGCAGGAGAAAAGCAACAAUGGCACACAGAGCAGUGUUCUCUGCAUCUUGGCAUUGGUCUGUGAUACCUGGAUAGGCGCGUCACGUUGGACCUGAGAGGAGAGGAAGGUCGGCCAAAUUUCAGUCUCAGGUCUCCCUUUGAUGCACACAAGCUUUUCUUCAUCAAAUAGCAGAAUCACAGCACAGCUGGACUGGAAGGGACCUUGAAGAUCACAGCACCAUGGAAUCACCGCAGAGUUGGGUUGGAAGGGACCUUGAAGAUCAUAGCACCAUGGAAUCACCGCAGAGUUGGGUUGGAAGGGACCUUGAAGAUCAUAGCACCAUGGAAUCACCGCAGAGUUGUGUUGGAAGGGACCUCCCAGCCCUCCCACCCCCACUAUGGUGGUCAGAAAUGGUUUGCCAGAGUUGGAUAUUCAAAGAGGUGACAGAAGGGUUCUGAACAGAUAACCUUUUUUGACUCAAGGGACGGCCAAUGGACAGAAAUUGCUGUGGAAGCUCUCAAACGUUCUCAAAGCUCCAACCCCUUUCAGUCCCUACUGGUUCUCUCAAACCACCUGGCACCUUUGGUAAAUAAAACUAAAUCCGAGGUCGCCUUCAGAAGCUGAGUGGCAUCUCUGUUUUAUAAAGACACCCCCCGUCCUGUCGGGGUGGGACGCACACUGGGGGCGAUGGGGCUGUCCCCAGGGGACGCUCACGGUGCCCUCUGGCCUCGCUUUGCAGCAGCCACCAAGAGCCAGCAGUGGUGCGUGUGAGAUGGGGAGAGGGGACACCCCUGUCUCCUGGGUCCAUCCCUUAUCUGCCACUGUUCCUUUGUCCCCCUGGGACCCACUGCCCCACAGGUCCUCAGCACGGACCCCUUACAGAACAAGUGCAGCAAUGCUGAGUGCCAGCCCUUGGGGACACCGCUGCUGUCCCUAUCAGAUGGUGCUGCCGUUCCUUUUGGGUCGUUGUCCUCACUGUUGGCUGCUUGCGAUGUUGCCAGCUGCACGUGGCCUCUGUCCCAGCCAGGACCUUUUGCCAUCAGUGCUGUCCCCAGGUGCCAUUUGUCCGUCCUGGCACCCAUUCCCAGCAUCGCUCCCCCCAUGCAGUGUCCCCGUGUGCCCCUCCCAGUCCCACCGGUGCUAUUGCCAUGGUCCCCAUCCUCACCCAGUCCCACUGCUGUCACUGAGGGGCGGUGGGUUGGCUCUCCACAUCUGAGUGAUAGAAGGAUAGAAUCACUGCAUGGUUGGCGUUGAAAGGACCUUACAGAUCAUAGAACGCCUAACGCACAAAUGGAUGGGUUGCAUGGGAUCAAAAGGAUCAUAGAACCAUAAAAUCAAAUUGUGGUGUUGGAAGGAACCUCACAGCCCCUCCAGCCCCACCCCUGCCGUGGGCUGCCUGCCCCUCUUUCUCUGGCUGCCCAGGGCCCCCCACGGCUUUGGGCACCUCUGGGGAUGGGGCACCCACAGUGCUCUGAGCAGCACUGCCGCGGCCUCACCGCCCUCUGUAAAGAAUUCCCUCUUCACAGCUCACCUCGGUUUCCCCUUGGUCCUGUAACAACCAUCCCACGUACGGAGUCUCUCUCCCUCCUGUCUGUCAGCUCUUUUGAAGGAGUGCAAGGCCACCGUGCGGUCCUCCAGAUCCUUCUCUUCUCCAGGAUGAAAGUCCCCGGCUCUUUCAGCCUUUCUUUGGUGGAGAGCUGCUCCAGCCCUCAGAGCAUCCUCAUGGCCCCCUCUGGGCGCGCUCCAACAGCUCCACGUCUCUCUUGUGCUGGGGGACCAGGCCUGGGUGCAGGACUGCAAAUAGGACUGACACCAGCUGACGUUCUUUGGCUCUUCUUGUCUCCCAUCUCCCGCAGACGCUCCCCGCACAGCUUCCUUCUGAAUCCUUUUGCCAGCACCACCGCUCCUCUCUGAACACAACCCGUCAACUCUCUCAAAGCCGAUGCCCAAAACUGAGUGCAGCACUCAAGGUGCAUGUUGUGGUUUUAGGGUUUUUGCUGUCGGUAUUCCACAUCGUAACAUCAGGCGGUGCGCUGGGAGCUAAAGACUGAAUGCUCCAGUUCCGUGGAUGGUCGAUAUUUCCGGGUACCUAACAUUGCCCUCUUAUCACCAUAGGAAAGUAUGAAACGUACUUAAAAAUCAUCAGGAUGGUAACAGACCUUAUGGAGAUGUACUGUAGCAACGUAUCGGGAAUACUGUUAGCCUAACAUGCUCAACCAAUGAGCGCCACGAGAGGCAUUAUCUGCAUGGGGACAGAGGGGAACAACGGCGUGGAUUUCACUGCCAUAAGGCGACGUGCGCCCAUUACUGCGAGAAUGAACUUUGCUGCUUCUCCAAGGUCUUUGCCUGCUUGAAUAUUACUGAUUUUGAGCGUUUCUCACAAAGGGAAGUGGUAAAAUGGGAGGGGUCGCGUCCCAGCGGAGAACCUCUCUGUAGUCCCUUGGGUGGCCGGGACAGGAAGGCAGAAGGUGCCGCAUUGGUGCUGCAGUGCCUCACGAGUCUGCUCAUACCACAGCACCCAGCACAGCCCUGUGGUCGCCGCAGGAUGUUUGAUCAUCAACGCGUCCCAGAAGUCACCACGAGCAGCAUGAUGAACGUUCUCAAGAACUUUAUCUUCCGCCCUAAAGCAGCAGCAGCAGCCCGGUUACCCGCAGUCCCUGUGGCUGUGUCGCGCCAUGUUGCGCGCUGUCGGCUGAUGGAAGCAGGAGCUGAUGCUGAUAAAGGCCUGCUCCAUUCCUGCUGCACGUGGAGGAUUCUGUGGGAGGAAAGAGCCUGGUUGUGCACCAACCCCGCUGUGUGUGAGCCGAGGCAGGCAGGAGCGGCCUCCACAGAGUCUUCCCCAGAGGACGGCCCUUGGGCUGCCUCCCGGCUCCAUCCCAGCUGCAGAGAUAGGGCAGCACGGGUGGGGGUUGUUCUCUGGGGUCCCCACGCUCCCUGCCCCACCGAGAGCUUUACAGGCCGGCCGUGGUGGUGCCCUGUGUAGGGCAGCACAGCUCCAUCCUGCUCUGCAGCCCCCACUGCCAGCCUGAGCCAUCUCCCAGCCACGGCCCGGGCCUUGGCCUGCAGUGGGGUAGAACCGGAGGCUUCCCCCGGCUGCUCUGCUCUCCCAGAUGCCGUGGGCUGCGUGUGGUUGCCCCUGUAAGAAAUGUUUGUGUUCAGUAAUCCAGGCUCAGGUGGAAUUUGCUAUGAAUCAUAAUUUAAUUCACACUUUUGCAAUAGCAAGCAACCUUAAAAAAAAAAAGAAAAAAUGGUGCCAGGAGAGGAGGCACACAACAGUUCCUAUUUCCUACUCCCCGGAGCAAAAUCCCUCCCCUGUUCCUCAUUGGCCUACGACUCCAGGGCUUACAGCCUAUCCAACACCCCAAACACUGUCUGCUUAUAACCCCUGCCUGUUCUCCUCCCAUUUUUGUUUAGUUUUUACCCAUUACGGUAUGCUGGCAUAACCUCUCAUAGUUAACCUUCCCCUCUGGCAAUCAUUCAAACCACGGAACUGUUUGCAUCAGUACAUCUUACCUUACUCAUGUAGGAAUGGAAUGUUGUUUCUGCAUUAGAUACUGAAAAGGGGGAACUGACCUGAAGAAGUGGAGCGCAAUGUAUUUGUAUUUUGUGACUUGCCCUUUGAAAUAGCUGAUGUGAAAAGGUAGAAAUACCAUAUAUGAUAGUAGCAUAUUUUAGAAGUAUAGUUGCUGAAUUAUGUGAUUAAUUCUUGCUUGCAAAACUGCAAUAGUUUUUAAAUGUUCCAAAUAGUAUAGGUAUAGUAUUAUGGACUAGAAAGCAUACUGUAGGGCUAUUCUGUUCAGAUAAGAGACCCUCAGCAAAAGAAAAACAGACUUAACAAACAUCAAAGAAGCCAGGGCCUCUACACGAGGUUGGAUUGCCUCGCUCUGCGGAUAGGCUGGGAUGCAACAGGCAGGCAUCAAGAUACUCCCCUCUAUCCUCCUUCCAAGCUUAUCUCUAUGCAAGGAUGAGCAGAUGUCCAGAAACAAUGACUGAGUGUUAAAUGAGCAGAUGUGAGAAGUUAACUGAGUAGCGAGACAUGCUUAGCUAGCAACAAGUUAUGUUGAUCCAGUAUCCGUAUGUUUAGUUGAGCGUCAGGAAGAUUGUGAACCUGAGGUACUCAGCCAAUGAGGAACCGGGGGAGAAAGGGAUAAGAGUCGAGUAUAGGGCAUCAAAGAUGUAAGGCUGCUUUCUGUGUGCUCUCCUGCUUGCAGGAGGCCCACCAUUGCAAUUGCAAAUAAAAUCUGCUUUAUCAGA